GCAAAAAGGGCUACUCCAGCAUCACGUGUUGCGUUGUUACGAUCAAAGGGAAGAGUUGAAUCAGAUGAUGAUGAUGAUUCUUUCACCAUUCUCAUCUGAUUCUGACGAGCCAGUCCAGCUAAAUGAGGAAGAAGCAGAACAAUGUGCCAAAGCAAAAGCAAUGGUUGAAACCAAAAUGACAGAUCUCGAUCUAAAAACAGAGCGAGAUCAAGAUCCAAAGCUCGAGGGCGAAGGAUAAAUGUCAGGUGCCUUCUUUCCCGAAAGCGGCACAAAUAGUCUUAACAGGAUCUUUAUCAGAUAAGACCUUCCCGCCUUUACCGCUUCAAUCGACUGCUUUGAAUUGAAAGACCUUCCGCGCCUUCCUUGUGUGCCGGAGAUAUAAAGCGAGNNN
rnacentral:lncRNA from 1 species